rnacentral:rRNA from 1 species
GACGAACGCUGGCGGCGUGCCUAAUACAUGCAAGUCGAGCGAAGUUUUUCUGGUGCUUGCACUAGAAAAACUUAGCGGCGAACGGGUGAGUAACACGUAAAGAACCUGCCUCAUAGACUGGGACAACUAUUGGAAACGAUAGCUAAUACCGGAUAACAGUAUUUCUCGCAUGAGAGAUAUUUAAAAGUUGGUUAUGCUAACACUAUGAGAUGGCUUUGCGGUGCAUUAGCUAGUUGGUGGGGUAAAGGCCCACCAAGGCGACGAUGCAUAGCCGACCUGAGAGGGUGAUCGGCCACACUGGGACUGAGACACGGCCCAGACUCCUACGGGAGGCAGCAGUAGGGAAUCUCCCGCAAUGGGCGAAAGCCUGACGGAGCAACGCCGCGUGAGUGAAGAAGGAUUUCGGUUCGUAAAGCUCUGUUGUUAGGGAAGAAUGGAUAUGUAGUAACUAUACAUGUAAGAGACGGUACCUAACCAGAAAGCCACGGCUAACUACGUG